AGAGUUUGAUCAUGGCUCAGAACGAACGCUGGCGGCGUGGAUAAGACAUGCAAGUCGAGCGAGAUUUUUUCCUGUAGCAAUACAGGGAAACGUCUAGCGGCGAACGGGUGCUUAACACGUGGGCAAUCUGCCGAGAAGUGGGGGAUAGCUCGCCGGAAGGCGAAUUAAUACCGCAUGUGAUCAGAGUGGACAUCCAUUCAAAAUCAAAGUCGGGGCAACCUGACGCUUCUUGAGGAGCCCGCGGCCUAUCAGCUAGUUGGUGAGGUAACGGCCCACCAAGGCUUUGACGGGUAGCUGGUCUGAGAGGACGACCAGCCACACUGGGACUGAGACACGGCCCAGACACCUACGGGUGGCAGCAGUCGAGAAUUUUUCUCAAUGGGGGAAACCCUGAAGGAGCGACGCCGCGUGGAGGAUGAAGGUCUUCGGGUUGUAAACUCCUGUCAUUUGGGAACAAUGCGUAAAUAUUAACUGUAUUUGCGUUGAUAGUACCAGAAGAGGAAGGGACGGCUAACUCUGUGCCAGCAGCCGCGGUAAUACAGAGGUCUCAAGCGUUGUUCGGAUUCAUUUGGCGUAAAGGGUGCGUAGGCGGCGCGGUAAGUCGGGUGUGAAAUCUCGGGGCUUAACUCCGAAACUGCAUUCGAUACUGCCGUGCUUGAGGACUGGAGAGGAGACUGGAAUUUACGGUGUAGCGGUGAAAUGCGUAGAUAUCGUAAGGAAGACCAGUGGCGAAGGCGGGGUCUCUGGACAGUUCCUGACGCUGAGGCACGAAGGCCAGGGGAGCAAACGGGAUUAGAUACCCCCGGUAGUCCUGGCAGUAAACGGUGCACGUUUGUUGUGAGGAGGAUUCGACCCCCUUCCGCGCCGGAACUAAACGCGUUUAACCGUGCCGCCUGGGGAGUACGGUCC
rnacentral:rRNA from 1 species